rnacentral:misc_RNA from 1 species
GAAAUGCGAUAAGUAAUGUGAAUUGCAGAAUUCGGUGAAUCAUCGAAUCUUUGAACGCACCUUGCGCUCCUUGGUAUUCCUUGGAGCAUGCCUGUUUGAGUAUCAUGAAAUCUUCAAAGUAAAUCUUUUGUUAACUCAAUUGGUUUCUACUUUGGUAUUGGAGGUCUUUGCAGCUUCACACCUGCUCCUCUUUGUUCAUUAGCUGGAUCUCAGUGUUAUGCUUGGUUCCACUCGGCGUGAUAAGUUAUCUAUCGCUGAGGACACUGUAAAAGGUGGCCAAGGUAAAUGCAGGUGAACCGCUUCUAAUAGUCCAUUGACUUGGACAAUACUUUUAUGAUCUGAUCUCAAAUCAGGUAGGACUACCCGCUGAACUUAAGC